rnacentral:rRNA from 1 species
GACGAACGCUAGCGGCGUGCCUAAUACAUGCAAGUCGAACGCAGUGGGGACGGGUGAGUAACACGUGGGUAACCUCCCCAUCAGAGUGGCUAACACUUGGAAACAAGUGCUAAACCGAUACUGGUUGAUGGACCCGCUGUGCAUUAGCUAGUUGGUGAGGUAACGGCUCACCAAGGCCACGAGGCAUAGCCGACCUGAGAGGGUGAGCAGCCACACUGGGACUGAGACACGGCCCAGACUCCUACGGGAGGCAGCAGUGGGGAAUCGUGGGCAAUGGGCGAAAGUCUGACCGAGCAAUGCCGCGUGAGUGAAGAAGGUUUUCGGAUCGUAAAACUCUGUUGGUAGAGAAGCGGUAUCUAAACAGAAAGCCACGGCUAACUACGUGCCAGCAGCCGCGGUAAUAC